CGAAUAGAGCGAAUCACCGUCGAGAUCGUAGAGGCAUCGCAGUACCAAAUCUGAGCCGCGUUGUACGUGACUGGGUACGACCAUCUGCGUGAUGACCAGAGCGUCACCUGCGUUCAACAGCCACACCAUGUUUUAGCACAUUCCGAAUUUUAUCGGUGCUGAACAACUUGGUCAUGGGUAAACCGAACAGGGCAUUUCGGUAAAUCAUUUUUUAGGCCAGGGCACUACAACUAGACAUAAUAGGGACAGGUCUAUCCACUCCACAUAGGAAUGGUUAGAAUUGAUUGAAAGGACAAAAUUUAAAAAAAACCGAAAAUGCUGUACAAAAGGCUUGUCUAAAAAGCAACGGAAUAAGGUAAAAGGAUUCAAUUCUUUUUCUCCCAAUCAGGACAUGCCAUUUUUUGGAUAAAAAUUGGCGAUCGAUGGAUUCUUUGACUUUUAUUUUGUAGUGACUUAUUAAAAUUUCUAAAGGGCUAUCGAAGGAAAGUUGCUCAAAGAACGAAAAGGAUGACAGUUGCGAGAAAAUGAAAUCCACAGAAUUCGAAACCUGAAUGAUUGAAAAAGAUAUCCCCGAAAAAAAAAAGAGGGUGCAAAAGAAAUGCGACAGAACAUCGCCUCCCAAAAGUUAUAGACAUGCGUGAUUGAAAUGUUGAACUUACAUUUGUAGCUGACGUAGAGAAUGACGGAAGAGACUACGAUGAAGACGGACGAAGGGCUUGAGAUUUUCUUCUUCAUUUUUUGUUAUGUGUGUGUUAAACUUUGAUACUUUUUCACUUGUGCACAAUAUGAGUUUUCUUUUUCUUU